rnacentral:rRNA from 1 species
AGUGAACGCUGGCGGCGUGCUUAACACAUGCAAGUCGAACGAGAACGGAUUAUAGCUUGCUAUAAUUGUCAGCUAAGUGGCGCACGGGUGAGUAAUAUAUAGGUAACGUGCCCCAAAGAAGAGGAUAACAGAUGGAAACGUCUGCUAAGACUCUAUAUGCCUUUAUGACAAAGUCAGCAAGGGAAUAUUUAUAGCUUUGGGAUCGGCCUGUACAGUAUCAGUUAGUUGGUGAGGUAAUGGCUCACCAAGACAAUGACGCUUAACUGGUUUGAGAGGAUGAUCAGUCACACUGGAACUGAGACACGGUCCAGACUCCUACGGGAGCAGCAGUGGGGAAUA